UAAUAAUAAUAAAAAAAAACCGCAGAAUCAAAACCAACGGUGAUGAUAGAAGUCAUUCUCUGAUCAGAGUCGUCUCCUAUCUCCUCUCUUCUCCAGCGUCCGAUCCCUUCUCUUUCCUCUUUCUCCGUUCCAAUCCAAUCCUUCUUAUUCCCUCGCGCCCUUUUACAAAUCUCUUCCUGAGCUAGGUUUUGAGCAUGGCGGCGGAGGCACCACCUGCGAGCCCAGGCGGAGGCAGCCAUGAGAGUGGUGAGCUGAGCCCCCGCUCCAACUCCAAUUCUAAUGUCCGUGAACAAGAUAGAUACCUACCGAUCGCUAAUAUUAGCCGGAUCAUGAAGAAGGCGCUUCCUGCCAAUGGUAAGAUCGCCAAGGAUGCCAAGGAGACCGUUCAGGAAUGCGUCUCUGAAUUUAUUAGCUUCAUCACCAGCGAGGCGAGCGAUAAGUGCCAGAGAGAGAAGAGGAAGACGAUUAACGGUGAUGAUUUGUUGUGGGCCAUGGCAACGUUAGGGUUUGAGGAUUACAUCGAUCCGCUUAAGAUUUACUUGGCUCGAUACAGAGAGGUCAAUUUGAGCUUCAAAAUUUUUUUUUUCAGCCGUUUGGAUGAUUCUGGCUGCUCUUUUUGUCGUUUUAGCUUAUAAUAACAUGAAAAUUUGUUGCAGCAGAGUAUUUUCUGGAAUUUUGUUUCUAAUUUUUUGGUUAUUUGAUUCAGGAUUUUGAUUUUUGAUUCUGACUUGUUUAAUAUCACUGCAAUGAUAUUAUUCUAAAAGAUUUUAGGCACUAAUUGAUUUAUUUCUGUUGUUGUUUUAUUGGGUUGAACGGAUGAUGCAGAUGGAGGUAUGUUGAUAUUCUUUUGCAUAUACAUACAAAUUUCUUUUGUCUUUUUUCUUUUUUCUGUGUAAAUUUUGAGUCCUGGGAUCUGUAAAUUGUGGUGUUUUACAGGGUGACACCAAGGGAUCGGCAAAGGGUGGAGAAACGUCUGUUAAAAAGGACGUUCAGCCGAGUCCAAAUGUCCAGAUUUCUCAUCAAGGAUCUUUCUCACAAGGUGUCAAUUACGCAAAUUCUCAAUAGCAGGUCCAGCACAUGAUGGUUCCUAUGCAAGGCACUGAGUAAACAUCUACUCUCCUUCAACCAAUGCCAUAAUUUAGAGCCCUAUUUAAUAACUCGUUCCAUUCUCGCAAAUAUUGUACCAAGACAUUGAAUCCAAUGUAAACACUAACAUUAUGGAUGGUUUUGGUUAUCUUGUUGUGCCUAGAGUUAUUUCGUGAUAAUGUUUGCAUAAUUAGGGUAUCUUUUGCUGUAGGAUGACUGUUUGAAGAAAUAUUGUAAAUCUCUGGAACGUUGUUUUCUUACUAUUUGUGGACUGGAUACUCGUCAAGGAUCUGUUAUGGCAUUCUGAAUUGAUUAUCAAGCUUCAUAUGCAUUUAUUUGUGCA